rnacentral:rRNA from 1 species
GACGAACGCUGGCGGCGUGCUUAACACAUGCAAGUCGAACGGAAAGGCCCUGCUUUUGUGGGGUGCUCGAGUGGCGAACGGGUGAGUAACACGUGAGUAACCUGCCCUUGACUUUGGGAUAACUUCAGGAAACUGGGGCUAAUACCGGAUAGUAGCUCCUGCUGCAUGGUGGGGGUUGGAAAGUUUCGGCGGUUGGGGAUGGACUCGCGGCUUAUCAGCUUGUUGGUGGGGUAGUGGCUUACCAAGGCUUUGACGGGUAGCCGGCCUGAGAGGGUGACCGGCCACAUUGGGACUGAGAUACGGCCCAGACUCCUACGGGAGGCAGCAGUGGGGAAUAUUGCACAAUGGGCGGAAGCCUGAUGCAGCAACGCCGCGUGCGGGAUGAAGGCCUUCGGGUUGUAAACCGCUUUCGCCUGUGACGAAGCGUGAGUGACGGUAAUGGGUAAAGAAGCACCGGCUAACUACGUG